rnacentral:tRNA from 1 species
GGUUUUCUUGGGUAUGGUUAGAUUUGAAGUCUUACCUAGGGCGUUCGACUCGUCCAAAAACUU